UUUUUAUAAAAUUGGUACAACUGUAUUUCUUCUAAAUUAAAAGAAGGUUAUGGAGCCCAGGAGGUGCAAAGUACAUCUUCCACACAAGAUACUAAGUGUGAAAUGAGAUAGUUAACUUGUGUGCAUGAUUUAACUAUUUAGUGAACACAAAAAUUGAAUAAUUUGCAUGCACAACAUAUUUAAUUACUCAUUUGUGUGAUAUAGCUAAUUAUAGCUAUAUAUAAAUAUAUAGUAGGCACGCAAUAGUCACCUUGGGUUGGAGGUCCUCCUGCCUUAGGAGAGCUUGGGAUAAAAUGUGGCCACAGGAGAAUCUGGAGAUUCAGGCUUGUAGACAUGCCCUAUCUCUGAUUAAAUGGGUGAUGCCAGAUCUUGAGAGAUCAUUUUGUGGGCACAUCAAAGGUAGGAGGACCUUUAGCACAAGUUGACUACUUUGUGCCUACGAUAUAGUUAGUAAAUUAGGAGUACAAGUUGACUAUAUCUCAUACACUACUUAUUAAUGAGUUGUGCACUCAAAUUAAUACCCAAUGUGAAUUGGAGCACUAUUAAUUCUUUAAUUAUUGUGUGCACAUGAAAUAUUUAAAGCAUACAUACAUGUUAACUAUCUACUAAAUUGUGCACAUGAGACAGUAAAGUGUGCACACAAUGUAAACACUAUAUAUAGUACCUCUGCAGAUUCAGAGGAAGCAAUGCUUUGAUGACUCUAACAUUAUUACUCCUGGGAUGUUUUGAAAAAUUCAAAUCCUAUAAUAGAUUUUGAAUUAUAAAAAUAGAAUUGUAGUUCAUUUAUUUUAAAAUUGUAAUAUAAUUAUAUCAUUUCAAUAUAAGUCCACUGCAGAAAAAAACAUUUAUAACCCUAUAACAGUCUAUCAAUAUUCACAUAACAUAGGUCUGUGGGCAAACCAAAAUCAAUGACAUUUUUGAGAAGGCAUAUAGCUCAAUUUGGUAAAU